GGGGCAGGCACCCACCCUGGACAGGGACCUUCUUCAGGAUCCUGGGCUGUGCCAGCAGCCUGGGCUUCAAAGCGCUACCGUUUGUUUGAUUCUCGCACACUACAAAGUGCUGUGACCCUCGCUUGCGGAAGUGCCACGCCCACCAGGGGAGAGGGCUGCAAAGCCAACAGCCUUUGUCCAGGGAGUUUGCCGGUGCAGGGGUGUGGCAGCCGCUUGCUCAGGGCGGAUAGGUAGCCACAGGUCCUGGCCCAUGGGUGCAGGCCUCUCCCGGGAAGGGGUGCUGUGGGCAGAAGAUGCCCAGCCAUGGCAUCAGCCAGUCCGCUCAGCUGUGCACAUGGCUGCUCGAGGCCAAAGCGCCUGUGCACGUGAGCCUUUGUACAUGAGUGAGCACACGCAUUUGCACUGAGCUUGUAUGACUGUGCAAGGCGUCCAUGUGUCUGCUCCCCAGGAGUGUGUGCAGUGUCUCGCACAACUCGUCCUCCCCCAGGGCACAAGGCCAGGGGCACAGGACACCCCACACCCCUCAGACCCUAGAGUCCCAGGCCCUGGGCGAUGCCUGUGUGGUGCCCCAGCAAGGGGGGUGUCCUGGGUGCUCCCUGUGUUCUGCUGCCCCUGGGAGGAGGCUCCAAGGUGGCUGCAAGGCUCACUGCAGGCAGACCUUGCCACGCCAGGGCCCCAGAGGUGGGCGUUGGGCCCAGGUCCCCAGCCAGCUGGUGGGAGGCAGAGGAUGGGAAUGCCCACAGGGAAACUGAACCCCAGCUCCACCGACUGUGCCAGGGCACAGAGGGGUCGGAAACGGCUCUGAGGCUGGACUCAGGAGGGUGGAGGCCAAGGGUCCCGGGGCAGGAGCGGGUGACGAGUUUUGAGGGCAGUGUGAGCCCUGGGCUGCUCUGGAGCUGGCGAUCUCUACCUCCUCCUGCCCUGCCUGCCUGGGUCAGAUGUAUGCCCUGUGCCCUCCACACACUGACUGAGUCCUGGGCCACUGAAGCUGGGCCAGGCCGGGCUGGCUUGAGACUGGUGAGGGCGAUGGCUUUGCCAGAAUCCCAGCCAUCUGGGUGGAGCCCAGCUGCCCCCAGGCGUGGGACCUCCUCCUGUCCCCAGAGGGGCCUCUCAAGGUGACCCCAGCCCCGGGGGGGGUCGUGUGAACAGGGCUGUCCUGGCUGUGCCUUUGUGCAUCCCCACAAUGGCAGAACUUGAUGCCGCCUCUCGCAUUACCGGACUCAGAAGCUCACCGAGCCCCUCUGCACUGCCCUGAUGCAGCUGGCUGGGAGGACUUGGCUUUGCAGAGAAGCAGGCCUGGGCAGCAUGCUGGUCCCCAGUGCCCACUGCUUUCUUGUCAUCAGAGCCUGUCCUCUCAGGGCCUUGCUGGACAGCCCUGCCUCUGCCACCAGAGUCCAGUUUGAGCUGUAGAAUGGAGAAAGCAGAUGUACUGGAUGACAGCCUGCUGGAGGAUGCUGUCCCUGCAGGAGGGAAGCAACGGCCCGGGGCACACACCUUGCUGGAGCACCCAGGGUCUACCUGCAGGCCCACAGCAGCCCCAGCUCAGAGUCAGAGGAAGCCACUGGGCAGAAGAGCCCAGCGAAUGGCCAGAAAACACCAUGGGCUCUUGGGGCAGGGCCAGCUGCUCCUCCCCACCUUCUACCACCUCCCAAGAAGCCCCAGCUUCCACCUGCAGCACCUGAGGGCUCCCGUUGGCCCUGUGCGACUGCCGAGCCUGGACAGACGACUUGGGCUGCUCCCCUCUUCUCCCCCGGUCACCUGGACUCUCGUAGUGACCCAGCCCCUCCAUGAGCUGAGCUGACUCACUGCCUGCCCAACCCAGUGUCUGCAGCUGCACACUUCCGGUCCCUCGAGGAGAGUGUGCCUCUGGCUGGAGAUGCAACAGCCCCAAGGGUCCCAAGAGCCAGGCCUCACCAGCGGGGCAGGGACGCCGCAGCCCAGCCUGGCACCGUACCGCUGAGUGGGGCCGGGCCUCUGUGAUCAGCUGGAUGCCCUGAGUGUGCUCAAGUCUGCGGAGAGACCCAGGGCCCACAGUGCUUCCAAGGCCGUUUUCCUAAGAAUGGUGAUGGUGACUGGAGCACACUGUGCUUGGGAAAAGGAGGAACUGUGGCCAGCCCUGUCUCGCGCCCAGGUUCUCAGGGUGUCUGCAGCUGACCCUGGACUCACUGGGGCUCUCUGGGGUUUGCCCGCAUCAUGCCCCCCUGAGCAUGCUGGACCUGCUGCCCCAUCCCAGGCUCGGUGCCGCACCCAGGACGCAGAACUCAGCCACGGCCUCCAGUCCCCAUGAGCCUGUGGCUGGAGCAGUGGCUGCAUUGCAUGAACCUGAUCCCUCCCCAGGUGCUGAGCAGGCUCUGGGCUCCACCUGUGUUCAGGGGGCCUGGUCCUCCUCGAAGCCAUGCCUGUGGGGCCCCCAACAAUCCUGGCCUUGGGGUCACAUGGGCUCUGUUCACCUCCUGGGUGGACACUGUGGGGCAGGGCCCAGCAUCAAGCCCAGGACCCAGAGCGCACCCUCUGCAGCAGCCGUGGGCUGCCUCUUGAUGGCACCGGGGAGCAGAGCAGACCAUGAGAA
rnacentral:lncRNA from 1 species